rnacentral:rRNA from 1 species
AUUGAACGCUGGCGGCAGGCCUAACACAUGCAAGUCGAACGAGUGGCGGACGGGUGAGUAAUGUCUGGGCAACUGCCCGAUGGAGGGGGAUAACUACUGGAAACGGUAGAUAAUACCGCCUAACAUUAGAUCUGCCCUGAUGGGAUUAGCUUGUUGGUGGGGUAACGGCUCACCAAGGCGACGAUCCCUAGCUGGUCUGAGAGGAUGACCAGCCACACGUGAACUGAGACACGGUCCAGACUCCUACGUGAGGCAGCAGCGGGGAAUAUUGCACAAGGGGCGGAAGCGUGAUACAGCCAUGCCGCGUGUAUGAAGAAGGCCUUCGGGUUGUAGAGUACUUUCAGCGGGGAGGCGUUACCCGCAGAAGAAGCACCGGCUAACUCCGUGCCAGCAGCCGCGGUAAUUC